ACAGGAACAGGUACAGGGACGAUGCACCACCACCGUGAGACAACGAUCACGGUCAAUAACAUACUCCGUACUGGAAUAAUAUCUCCCGAUUACUGCAAAAGCUUACCCGUGCCACUCUCCAUCCUUUAGUACCAGGUCAGGAUCAAUGCUCCCCAGCCACUCCACUUGCAUCUUGCGCUUCCUCUCCACGUUCCGUCUCCACGCUCCUCUCCCGGCAAUCAUCCCAGGCCAACACACCAUCGAUCCCUCCAACUGCCUCCAAACGCUUGCUACAUGAGGAGCACUGAUUACUUCUAGUACGCAGCAGCCGUGGCCAGGAACAGCCCGGCCCGCCAGCGACACCCGUGGCCAUAUCUCUCACCUCCCCUCCCCUCCCCGCCCAAUCAAGACCCGCCGUGCUCCCACGCGCUCUCCUCCUCCGCAUACAUACGCUGCUCUCCUGGCCCAAGACAAGUCCAAGACACAGACACAGACACAGUCACAGUCACCUUCCUAGGCACAAGCCGAUAACUAGUAUCCAUUGUCAGACACGUUGCACGGCCAGCAAUCGUUAGUAUGAGGUAUUUAUCAAUCCGCCGCGGGUUCCAUACGCAGUACGGAGUACAGACCAGUACAUUCAUUUCUAUACCAUGCCGUGAGUGGGGACGGGAACGGCAACGGACGGCCAGGGAGUGUCUCGACUCCGCAGUGCGAAAGUAUCCCCCCCAAACCCAUUCAUCCAUUCAUUAGCAUCGUGGAGCUAUGGAUGUCCAAAUCAUCCAUGGAGAUAUGCUAACACUAAUACCCUCCCCCGCACUGGAAAACGUUCCUACCUCCUGUACUUGUACCCAACCAACGACACAUGAAGAACCAGCGUUCAAUGCUCCUGGGGCUCUUACAUAGCAAGCAGAUAACCUGCUCCUCCUCCUCCUCCUCGUCGUCGUCGUCGUCGAGCAACUGGCGAUAUCCCAAUGGCACCUAAAUUUCACCUUAUACAACGAUUACACAAAUAGUACUAUCUCCAGAUUAGAUACCGUGUACUCUAUACCAGGUCCACGAUAAAGAUACAAAAAAUGAAAAAGGGCGGUGAGAGAAAACCAGGCUCGAAAAAUGAGCACAUAAAAACUCAGUAAGAAUCGAUUGGUAAAAAAACAAAAUAAUACUCCAAAAAAGUACUCAGGGUCCUGCCGCGGUUCGAACGCGGGGCCUCUCGCAUAUUUAGGCGUUGGAAAUAAUAGCGCAAACCCAAAGCGAGAAUCAUACCACUAGACCACAGGACCAGUCAUUCUUUGCAUUGGACGGCUUAUAACAGCAAUAUUUACUUACCAUCUAGUAAUAAUAAAUACGACGCAACUUUGCGGAGCACUAUCGAUGUACAGUACAGAGCACCGCAGAUGGCAAUUCCUGGUUUUGAACAAACGGCUCAAUUUAAUUAAAGCAAAAUUGGUUAUAGUGAGGGCGUUAUCUAAUUGCAAAUCUUGGGACUGCGUACUUCCCGUACGUACGCCUUUGUCUUUUGAACGUGGUACGGUGGCAGAGUGAGAUUAUAUAUAUAUAUUUAUUUGGUAUCAAAGUCAAUUAUCACCAAAACAACAAACACAGUUCCAAAAUCAAAAGAGAAACGAAAACCAGAAAAAAAGGGAGGUGGCAGAAAGAAGAGAAUAAAAGAGCCACUUUUGAAAAACCAAGCCCAGAAAGGACCUACGCAUGCUACAAAAUGCAAUUAGAACGGGGUAUUUCGACAGAAAAAAGGGGGAAGGGCCCAGGCAAGAGACCAGGCAAACCCCAUGAUACCAAAAGGAGGAAAACAAGAAAUGAGACCCAAAGCCAAGAUCACAUACCCGUCCUAAACGCCAUAUAUAUCAAACAAGAGAAGGUGGAAAAAUGAAAACAGCGGACAAACCCAAACCCCUUCUCCGUCCUGAGUCAAUGUCCAGGCAGGAGAACAAAAGCAAAUUUCAUACAGAAAAGAAACCCUAAAACCCCAAAAGAAAACCCAGACAGAAGAACAAUAACGGAAAGGCGAAAAGAUUCACCAUCAAUUAUCUUGCCGCUCCUUUUUCUGCUUGCUCUUCUUUUUUUUAAGAACCCCCAACUCUUCCAACCGCCUCCACACCUCAUCCUUUCUCACAUACCCACUCCUCCCCUUUGCACCACCAUCACCACCACUGCCACCACUGGAACUGGCACUCUCAUCCCAAAAAUCACCUACGCUACCCCCCGCACAUCCAUUGACAAUAGGAAGUCCAUUCAAGACCCUCAACCUCCCCGCAGCCGCCGCCUGCACCAUCAGCUCCACAACUCUUCUCCGCAACCUCGUUGCUUCGUCCAGGUGCACGACAUACUUGCGAUCUGCAAUGACGUUCGUCGGCGGUACUGUGUAGUGGUCAUCAAUCUCAAUCUCAACCCUCCCCUCAUCCUCAGCUUCAGUCUCAUCACGAGCCUCGUUGUCAUCACCGAAUCCUUUCCGCGCAAUAUCUGUACAGCCACCCAAGGUCGGGAAACCCGCAUCAUCCUCAUCUUCAUCCCCUUCAUCACUUUUGCGAACCUGUAACUGCCUCUCCUCUUCGUCAUACCCAUGCCCAUACUUUUUCUCAUUCUUCCGUCUUCCCACCUGUCCGCCCCCGACAAGGCGGCCCUUCUCAUCCCUCCACACCCUCCCACUUCCUGUGACAGGCGCCGGAUAGAACCCCACCGUAAUUGGGUUCCCCCUUAAAUCCACAUCGCCCAGUGCACCGCUGCGGCCACCGACGGAUCUCAGAACCUGGCAGAGCUUCCGGAGCCGCGCGAUGCGGUUACCAACUAACAAAACGCGACCAAGGCGUGUGAUGCCUUGUAAUUCGGAGAUGUCGGAGAGCGCGUUGAAGUUAAGAUUCAAGACGCGGAGGUUUGGGAAGGCGAUGCCGAAAGUAUUGGGUAGAGUUUCCAAGGCACACGAGGCGAUGUCGAGGUAUUGUAGGCUGGGGACGCCGGUUGGUGGAGCGAGAAGAGCUGGGGAUAGGCGGUUGGAUGAUAGGUAUAGCUUCCGGAGGGAGGCGGCUGCACCAAGGUCGAGGUGGAUGAGGGGAAGUUGGGCCAUCACGG
rnacentral:tRNA from 2 species